GGAGCUGUAGCUCAGUUGGUAGAGCGACAAGCUUAUACCUUGUUGGUCCCUGGUCCGAGUCCAGGCAGCUCCA
rnacentral:tRNA from 1 species